AUGCCUCGUCAUCUAAUUAGUGACGCGCAUGAAUGGAUUAACGAGAUUCCUACUGUCCCUAUCUACUAUCUAGCGAAACCACAGCCAAGGGAACGGGCUUGGAAUAAUUAGCGGGGAAAGAAGACCCUGUUGAGCUUGACUCUAGUCUGGCAGUGUAAGGAGACAUAAGAGGUGUAGCAUAAGUGGGAGAUAUAUUGGUUUCGACUAAAUAUAUCAAAAAUGAAAUACCACUACUCUUAUUGUUUCCUUACUUACUUGAUAAAAUGGAACGUGUAUCAUUCACUUAGCCAUUAUACGGAUAUAUUUAUAUAUUUUAUGGUAUUUUGUUUUGAUGCGAGCUUCUUGUUUAAAGUACCAAGAGUUUGUUAUAUACACCAAACAAAUAUCAAUUAAAUUUGCUUUCCAUUAAUAAUGGUUUGUUAAAUAUUAAUUGAAUUUGGUAUAACUAUUAUACUCAGGUAUGAUCCAAUUCAAGGACAUUGCCAGGUGGGGAGUUUGACUGGGGCGGUAC
rnacentral:rRNA from 1 species